CUCAAAGGAAUUGACGGGGACCCGCACAAGCGGUGGAUGAUGUGGAUUAAUUCGAUGCAACGCGAAAAACCUUACCUACCCUUGACAUGUGCCGAAUCCUGAAGAGAUUUGGGAGUGCUCGAAAGAGAGCGGCAACACAGGUGCUGCAUGGCUGUCGUCAGCUCGUGUCGUGAGAUGUUGGGUUAAGUCCCGCAACGAGCGCAACCCUUGCCAUUAGUUGCUACGAAAGGGCACUCUAAUGGGACUGCCGGUGACAAACCGGAGGAAGGUGGGGAUGACGUCAAGUCCUCAUGGCCCUUAUGGGUAGGGCUUCACACGUCAUACAAUGGUGCAUACAGAGGGCUGCCAAGUCGUGAGACGGAGCAAAUCCCAGAAAGUGCAUCGUAGUCCGGAUUGAAGUCUGCAACUCGACUUCAUGAAGUUGGAAUCGCUAGUAAUCGCGGAUCAGCAUGUCGCGGUGAAUACGUUCCCGGGUCUUGUACACACCGCCCGUCACACCAUGGAG
rnacentral:rRNA from 1 species